rnacentral:rRNA from 1 species
GAUGAACGCUGGCGGCGUGCCUAAUACAUGCAAGUCGAGCGGGGCAUUGGACUGGAAGCCUUCGGGUGGAAGGUUCAAAGCCUAGCGGCGGACGGGUGAGUAACGCGUGGGUAACCUGUCCUGAAGUACGGGAUAACAGCUCGAAAGAGCUGCUAAUACCGUAUGUGGUCAACGGGAGCUAGCUUUUGUUGACUAAAGGUGAGAACCGCUUCAGGGUGGGCCCGCGUCCCAUUAGCUAGUUGGCAGGGUAAUGGCCUACCAAGGCGACGAUGGGUAGCCGGCCUGAGAGGGUGACCGGCCACACUGGGACUGAGACACGGCCCAGACUCCUACGGGAGGCAGCAGUAGGGAAUCUUGCGCAAUGGGGGAAACCCUGACGCAGCGACGCCGCGUGAGCGACGAAGGCCUUCGGGUCGUAAAGCUCUGUCCUUCGGAACGUACGAAUAGACGGUACCGGAGGAGGAAGACCCGGCCUACUACGUGUCCAGCAGCCGCGGUAAACGGUACGUGGUGUA